rnacentral:rRNA from 1 species
UUUUAUGGAGAGUUUGAUCCUGGCUCAGGAUGAACGCUGGCGGCGUGCCUAAUACAUGCAAGUCGAGCGAACGGACGAGAAGCUUGCUUCUCUGAUGUUAGCGGCGGACGGGUGAGUAACACGUGGAUAACCUACCUAUAAGACUGGGAUAACUUCGGGAAACCGGAGCUAAUACCGGAUAAUAUUUUGAACCGCAUGGUUCAAAAGUGAAAGACGGUCUUGCUGUCACUUAUAGAUGGAUCCGCGCUGCAUUAGCUAGUUGGUAAGGUAACGGCUUACCAAGGCAACGAUGCAUAGCCGACCUGAGAGGGUGAUCGGCCACACUGGAACUGAGACACGGUCCAGACUCCUACGGGAGGCAGCAGUAGGGAAUCUUCCGCAAUGGGCGAAAGCCUGACGGAGCAACGCCGCGUGAGUGAUGAAGGUCUUCGGAUCGUAAAACUCUGUUAUUAGGGAAGAACAUAUGUGUAAGUAACUGUGCACAUCUUGACGGUACCUAAUCAGAAAGCCACGGCUAACUACGUGCCAGCAGCCGCGGUAAUACGUAGGUGGCAAGCGUUAUCCGGAAUUAUUGGGCGUAAAGCGCGCGUAGGCGGUUUUUUAAGUCUGAUGUGAAAGCCCACGGCUCAACCGUGGAGGGUCAUUGGAAACUGGAAAACUUGAGUGCAGAAGAGGAAAGUGGAAUUCCAUGUGUAGCGGUGAAAUGCGCAGAGAUAUGGAGGAACACCAGUGGCGAAGGCGACUUUCUGGUCUGUAACUGACGCUGAUGUGCGAAAGCGUGGGGAUCAAACAGGAUUAGAUACCCUGGUAGUCCACGCCGUAAACGAUGAGUGCUAAGUGUUAGGGGGUUUCCGCCCCUUAGUGCUGCAGCUAACGCAUUAAGCACUCCGCCUGGGGAGUACGACCGCAAGGUUGAAACUCAAAGGAAUUGACGGGGACCCGCACAAGCGGUGGAGCAUGUGGUUUAAUUCGAAGCAACGCGAAGAACCUUACCAAAUCUUGACAUCCUUUGACAACUCUAGAGAUAGAGCCUUCCCCUUCGGGGGACAAAGUGACAGGUGGUGCAUGGUUGUCGUCAGCUCGUGUCGUGAGAUGUUGGGUUAAGUCCCGCAACGAGCGCAACCC